rnacentral:rRNA from 1 species
UACGGAGGGGGCUAGCGUUGUUCGGAAUUACUGGGCGUAAAGCGCACGUAGGCGGCUUUGUAAGUUAGAGGUGAAAGCCCGGGGCUCAACUCCGGAAUUGCCUUUAAGACUGCAUCGCUAGAAUUGUGGAGAGGUAAGUGGAAUUCCGAGUGUAGAGGUGAAAUUCGUAGAUAUUCGGAAGAACACCAGUGACGAAGGCGACUUACUGGACACAUAUUGACGCUGAGGAGCGAAAGCGUGGGGAGCGAACAGG